CUAGCAUGCACGCUGCCAGACAGCAGCGUUGCUCCCGGUGUUGCCUCCACGGGCGUGGCUAGACUACGCCCCCCUUAGCCCCGAAAGGUGCCCAGCGCCGCGCUUGAUCAAAUGGCCGCAGCCACAGGCGCGGCGCACCCGAGUGACGCCGUCCGCGGCAACCAGAGAGGGUUGCAGCGGCCUGCCAUCGUCGACCGCCCCAUUCUCGAGGACCGUGCUAGAGCAGCAAUGGACCGCCCCUCUCGGGACGACAGUACGGUGAUUGCGGGCACCCCCGCGAGCUCCACACGCGCGCUCUCGGGCAAUCUCCUUGACCAGCUGCAGCACGACUACCCCGCCGUCUACGAAGCACUGCACGCGUACGAGAAAGCGGUGCGACACCUCAAAUGCAAGUACAAAGCCAAGGAGGCGGAGCUGCUGCGCUGCAUCAGCGUCGGCGAGGAGCUGCUCGGCCAGAUGGACGUCCUGAAGCGGCGGUGUGAGGCGCUGACGCACGAGCGUGAUGAGGCGAUGGCUGCUUCGGCCUCGGCGACCGCAUCACCAAGAGAGCACGCGCAUACAGCAGGCGGCGCCGCCUCGAGUUCGACCUCAUGGGCAGAGGAGAGGCACCGUCUGCUGAGGUCGCAUGAAACGGAGUGCGAGCGAUAUCGCAUCGAGGUGCAGAAGGCGCUCCAGGACACAGAGGCGGCGCAGGCGCAAAAGCGAGAGCUGGAGCUUGCCCUGGAGCGCACAACGACGCAGCUAAGCGAAGCAGAAAAGCAGCUGCGCACAGCUCACAACGCUAUAGCCGAUUGUGAAGCGCACUACGCCGCACAGCAAGAGAGGGAGAUGGAGCGACACAGAGCCGCACUGGAAAAGCAGCUGGCCGAGGUACGCCAGCAAGCGGAUGUGGACCGCGAAACCGUUCUUGCCGAGGCCAUGGUGGAGCUGGAGCGGCUGCAGCGCGCGCUCGUGCGGACCCAAAAAGAGCUGGCGGAGCAGCAACAGGCCUCCAGCGGCGCUCAAGCACUGCAAGCGGGGCUGACCAGCACUGCCGCCAUCGAGCUGGCGAGCCUGCAGAAGCAGAUAAGUACCCUGGCGGAGACGAAUCGUGACCUCCGACAGCGUCUGCAACGACGAGAGGCGGAGAUACAACUCGGCUGUGCAGCGAGCAGCACCGGCGCGAGGCGAGAUGAUAGCCAGCGCUCGCUUGCGCUUGCAAGCGACUCGAAUCGAGGUGCAGUGCUGUAUGACAGCACACUUGCCAACUCUCUUGUCGAUGCCCGACGAGAGCCCAGGGACGAUGCUGCAGAUGCGUCUGGUCUGGCCGCGGCGCAGGAGCGGCUGCGCGAGGAGAACGCCCGACUGCGGCAGAGGCUGCAGGAAGUGGCUCGCCGGGGGCAAGAUGACGUGGAUAAAGAGCACGCGGCGCGACUGUCGCUGCAGCAGCAGCUGCAAACGAUGGAGGCUCAAUCUCACGUCCUGCGCUCCGAGGUGGUGGGCCGCCUUCAGCGCGAGCUUCAGCAGGCCAAAGAUCAGUUGGAGGUGCUCCAAGCACAAGGUGCGACGGCGCAGAGGGCCGCCGCUGAGCUGGAGGUGCAGACGGCUGCUCUGCGGGAAGAGAAGACAACGCUAGCCGAUGCUCUGCGAGCCGAGAAGGUCACGACGGAGAAGCUUCGACGAGAACUCAAAGCAGCGCAGGAGAGGCAGGACGCACUGGCCCAGGAGCUGAAAGGCGCUAGCGCCGCAGCACAGGAAAGGGAGCAGGUCGUGGUGCAGCUGCAGCGGGAGAAGGGCCAGCUAUUCAACGCGUUGCAGACAUUUCAGGCGCAAGCGGCAGACAUCGAGGUCGCACUCAAGACCGUCACGGCGGAGCAGUCGGAGAGCACCGCCGCCCACGAAGGCACCGUGUCCCGGCUGCGAGACCGGUGCGUGCUCCUAGAGCAUGAGGCCGAGGAACUGAAGACUGAACGCGCCGCGUUGCGGCGCCGUCUCGGGGACGCAGAGGAGGCCAUCGAUGUGCUGAAGGAUGCACAGCGCGUGUCGCAAGAGCUCGUGCGCGAGGCACAGCGUGGUACGAAGACAGCGGAGGACCGGGCGAAUUUUGCCGCCGAUCAGCUCACUCUUCAGCAACAGUCGUCGGCCGUCCGCUUGGCGCAGGCGCAGCAGCAUCUGGAGCGCGUGCGCACCCAACAACGCGAUCUGUCUAGGCGGAUGGAGGUGUGCCAGCAGGAGCUGUCUCGUAAGGAGGAGGCUCUGCGCAAGAGCGCUGAGGCUCAAGAGGCACUCGUAGCCGAGGUUCAACGGCUGCGUGAGGAGCAAGCGAACCGCGACGAAAGCGUGAGAGAACGCUGGCGCCAACAGUACGCGCAAAGCAAUCGUGAACGGGAGAAGCUCAUUGCCAUAAAGGAGGCCCAUGUCGCGGACCUCCAGCGGCAGCAGAAGGAGCUGCAGAUGUCACUUGCGGAGAGCGAGGAUCGCGUGACGCAGCUACAUGAGCAGCGGCAGCAGCUGCAGGAAGCCCUCUCCGACUCUCUUGCCACCGCGGCCAGCCACAAAGGCCGCAUUCGGGCGCUGGAGGAGGAGCUGGCGCGCACAGCGGCGGAGCACCGCGCGGCGCAGCGCGAGCUGCAGCGUGUCGCAGGAGAGCGGGAGCGGAGCUCCAGCACCACUCCUGGUCUUCGCCCUUCCGGUGAAUGCGAUGCCUCGGCAGUGGUGCGUCUCGCGCAGUUGCAAGGGCAGCUCACCGAGUGUGAGGCGGCCUUAUGCGCAGCGGAGCAGUCGCGACAGCGGAUACAGAGCGCAGUGUUGGGGUGUCUGAUGCCAGUCGACGCUAGCGGCGAGGUGACAGCCGAUGCGGACAACAUGUGGGACACUCUGUUGGACCUGCUGAGGGAAGGUGAUCAGGAGCUCUGCUCGCGCAGCACCUCCGCGGCGCCUGUGCAACUCCGACAGAUGAAAGCAGAGGAAGGAAACCCGGUUUCUGACGACAAGCAGGCGUCGAAUGCCGUGUCCGUGCCGAUCGAUGCCAGCCGGUGUGCGGCGGCUGCGGUGAUGCGCGCCAUACACGACCUCGUGCUGCACUUGCAUGAUGCCGACCGUCGCCGUUGGAGCUGCGUGAGAAACAAGGUGUUGGCUGCGUGCGUCGUCGCCGACGCGACAAGCGAUGAAGCGGCACCGGUCGGCGCUGCUCCCCCGGCGACAGAGGACCCAGCAGGGGCAUUAUCGGAGAAGCUCUGCGCCGACCUUGCCUCAGCUCUACGAGCGUGGGCGCUAGCCUUGAGGAGUGCUCAGGAGCAUCUGACCGACUAUGUCGCCCAGGUUGCGAAGGUAGCGCAUCUGUUGAGUAAGGAGGCAGCGCAGCAGGUGCAGCUGACGCAGCUGACGGUAGCGGCUCGCACCGCUGAAGAGCAGCGUGAUGCGCUGCAGGCCGCACUAGAGGAGAUGACGGCGAAGUACUCGGAGGCUGCCAAGCGGGCAGAUGCACAGGAGAGUCGAGUGGAGGCGCUGCGCCACGAUGUCGCCGUGCGCGACACUCGCGUGAGAGAGAUGGAGCAUCGCCUCGAUGUGCGGCAAGCCGAGGUGCAGGCAGAGCGGGCAGAGUGGGUGUCCAAGUGGCAAGAGGCACAACGGCAUCGUGAGGCAGAGAAGAAGGAAGCGGAGGUUGAGCGCGCACAUCUGCGUGCGCAGGUGGCUGCCGCGGAAGAGGCGGGGCAUCAGUCGACUCAAAGGGCAGCGCAGGAGUCGGCGGAUGCGCUGCAGCAGCUCCGCGCGCAGCUACAGACGUUGCGAGAGACGUCGUCGGCAACCGAGGUGCAGCUGCGGCAACAAAUCACUCAACUGAGCUCUGAAAAAGUGGACGCUGCAAGGGCAGUGAGCCGACUGAAGAGCGUCGUAGCGCAGCUCGAGGAGCGCCUCAGCAGCACCGAGGCGACUCUGAGGUCGCGAGAGGCGGAGCUGGAAACAGCAAUGGCGUCGAUGCAGGAGCUGAAGCGAGUGCAGCUGCAGCGUCGCGCAGACGUUGCGGCGGGCGAGGCGUUUGAGCAGCGCACUCUCACGGAGCAGGUGGCCUCCCUCCAGGCUCAGCUCCUGUCCAUUCAGCGCGACCACGACAUGCAGGAGACGCUGCACGCUACGGAGAGGGCGGAGAUGGCCGCGCUGCGGAAGGUGAAUGCUUCACUGGAGGCACGCCUCGCUGAGGUGGAGGGCGAUCGCGCCCCUCUGCGAGAACAGCUGCACAGUCUUCUCUCUUUCACAGAAUCGUAGAUGUGUAUAUGUGUGUGUGCGCGCCUGUCGCGAUGCUGUUACUCUCGCGCUCUCUCUUCGCGGGCCCCCUCCCCGCCCCCUCCCCUCUCGCCCGCGUACGUGUUGCUCAUCUGCAGUGGAGGCUGAUGAAACGGAGUGGCUCCACGACGCCGCAUCUGUUUAGUGGGACUGCACACGUGCUGCUUCUAGGGCGCAGGCGGGUGCAUCAUGUCACCACGUGGGUAGGGCAGGUUGGCGGUGGCGGUGCUUGGCGUGUACAUUACGAUUGCCUUUCCUUUGCUUUCUGUGCGUGCGCGUGUGCCUGUGCGCGCGGGAUGGAAGUCGCGUACGCACACGUGCGGUGGGUGCCUCUCAUGCGCUGACUUCUCUCGCUGUGGGCCGUGCAUGUUUACCCGUGGCGGGGGGAGAUGAGGCAGGGGCUGAGCAAAAAGUGGGUGGGCAAGCGGCCACCCAGCUCCGCAGACGCGCGCACACUUCACUAGAAAUAUACGCGUGUGGCACAUUGCUGUCAUAGAUACGCACAUGAGAACAAGGAAAAAUCGAAACGACAUGCAAUCGUCUCGCGUGGGACUGGUGUAUCUCCUUGGGGCCUCUCCCUCCCCUCCUUUGCCCAUCCCAGCGCGCGCCCUCUCUGUUGUACACCCUUGCGGUGCGGCCAGCGACUGGCACUGUAUGCCGGUGACACGCUUUCUUUCGGCGUGGCACGUGCAUGCGUAUGUGCGCGUGCCACAGGAAAGGAUAACGCAGAUGCGCAGUCGCCGUCCCUCCCCACAACUUUUCGUUUCGCUCUUUGGGCCGGAGUUGUCACGCGCUCACGGCAG
rnacentral:misc_RNA from 1 species